CACCACUCAAGCCUGGCUUGGUGUUGGGCGACGUCCCCUUUGGGGACGCGCCUCGAAACGCUCGGUGGCGUGGCACCGGCUUUAAGCGUAGCAGAAUCUUUCGCUUCAAAAGUCGGGGCCCCGUCUGCCGGAAGACCUACUCGCAA
rnacentral:misc_RNA from 1 species